rnacentral:rRNA from 1 species
UACGUAGGUGACCAGCGUUGUCCGGAUUUACUGGGCGUAAAGAGCGCGCAGGCGGUCGUUCAAGUCGAGUGUGAAAGCCCCGGGCUCAACCUGGGAAUGGCAUUGGAAACUGGCUUGCUGGAGUGUGGCAGAGGGGGGUGGAAUUCCGCGUGUAGCAGUGAAAUGCGUAGAGAUGCGGAGGAACACCGAUGGCGAAGGCAGCCCCCUGGGCCAACACUGACGCUCAGGCACGAAAGCGUGGGGAGCAAACAGG